GAUGAACGCUGGCGGCGUGCCUAAUACAUGCAAGUCGAGCGAACAGACGAGGAGCUUGCUCCUCUGACGUUAGCGGCGGACGGGUGAGUAACACGUGGAUAACCUACCUAUAAGACUGGGAUAACUUCGGGAAACCGGAGCUAAUACCGGAUAAUAUAUUGAACCGCAUGGUUCAAUAGUGAAAGACGGUUUUGCUGUCACUUAUAGAUGGAUCCGCGCCGCAUUAGCUAGUUGGUAAGGUAACGGCUUACCAAGGGAACGAUGCGUAGCCGACCUGAUAGGGUGAUCGGCCACACUGGAACUGAGACACGGUCCAGACUCCUACGGGAGGCAGCAGUAGGGAAUCUUCCGCAAUGGGCGAAAGCCUGACGGAGCAACGCCGCGUGAGUGAUGAAGGUCUUCGGAUCGUAAAACUCUGUUAUUAGGGAAGAACAAAUGUGUAAGUAACUAUGCACGUCUUGACGGUACCUAAUCAGAAAGCCACGGCUAACUACGUG
rnacentral:rRNA from 1 species